ACCCUGUACCUUGUGUUUGUAAGGAAAACACCUUAACCAUUAGGCCACCCUCCCUAGUGGUGAGGGAGGGUACUAGCAAGGUGAGAAUGGUCAUGAAACUCAGCAGCCUUAGAAUAUUAUACACUUAUGAAUCUAUAAAAACAGAAUAUAAUAACAAUUCUUGAAGCCUUUCGAAAUAAUUCAUAUUUUCUAGUCUUACAGUUUGUCGUGCAUGGAAUCAUUUAAUCUUUUCAAGCUUUUUUUUCUGUGACUUGUUUGAAAACUACAAAACGCAAUAUUUACAACAAUGGGUCGGAUCAGUGAAGUAUAAAGAGAUACAAGAGUUUUCUGGAGUAACUAGACAUGUCCUUCUAGGUAAGCUACAGACUAUGCUUUUCUGACUUUGGUAGAUACACAUUUACCAAAGUUUAUAUCAUUUAUCAACCAGUGCCUCCAACUGUUUAAAAUUGUUGUCAUUUUUAUCACUGGACCAUUAAUUUUAUAAUUAUAAUUAGCUACUUUUCUGAGUCUAACCAUAUUAGUUUACUGAUAUUAAAACUGAAGAAUUUUUUACUGUAACAGGUGUAUUGCUUUUGAAGAUCCUGUUUGAAAAUCUUAUAAAUUUAAACUGAAGAAAUUAUGUUAUGUAAUUUGUAGUCACCACCAUAUUUGGUUAUCUGCAUCUCAUCCCUGCACCUGAUAAGUAUAUUCCAAAAAAGUGCCCUAGUUUAGAGCCCUGUGAAGCACUGCUAAGACAGGAAAAAUGACUCGCACACACAUUCCUGCAUUGUUUUCUGUUGUAUGACUAAUGUUAUAUAAGUUAAAUUACUCAGGAUUGAUGCUUGAAGAUCAUGUGCAAGCAUUUUUGUAUUUACCUGCAGUCUUUCUUUUUCUUGUAUGCUGACAGGAUAAUUUCCCUCUCUCAAAUGCAAUUUGCUGGAUAUUCUAUUUCAUUUUACAGUUACUUCCUGCUCACAAACUUUGGUGGUCCUUGCACUUAAGAGGGCAGUACUUAGUCAUCAUGCUUGGCACUUUGAUGACACUUUGAUGCAAAGAUGGAUUUGCCCUGCAAAUUCUAUACUAGUAAUGGACUCUGAUGACCCUGAUGUGAUGUCAGCACAGAAGCAAGGAAGCAGAACCUUCUUGAGUUAUCAACUUGGGCAGAGCAUGUUAAGGAUACGGAAGACAUUUUUUGGAAGAGAUCCUUCUUAAAAAGAAAAGUGAGAAUGCAAAUUUAGUGACAGAAAGACAGCCAAGAUGGAUGUAUACAGAUAUUCAAGUGAAAAGGGAAAUGGCUAACACAGCAGAAAAAGUUACAGACUAUCCUAUCAAUGAAGUAACAUUUCUGAAAGAAGAUUUCAGCCUGCUGAGAACUGUUUUUCGCUGGACCAAGAUAAGGAUGCAGACAAAGAAGGCUUCAGUAGAGGAAAAGAAUGUUUCCAUCAAGGCCAAAUUUUUGAAACUAUAAAAGUGGUUGUAAAAGACUUUUUGGUGGACAUAUUUGUAAUCUGAGUCAGCUGAGGAAGUGCAGUGUAUCUGACAAUGAUCUGUGUUAUAAUGUUUAUAAUCUCACAGUAUUGCUUGGUUGGCUUGUUUCAA